rnacentral:misc_RNA from 1 species
GCAAACUUGGUCAUUUAGAGGAAGUAAAAGUCGUAACAAGGUUUCCGUAGGUGAACCUGCGGAAGGAUCAUUAUCGAAUGAACAUAGAGUCUGGUUGUAGCUGGCCUGCAAAAGGCAUGUGCACGCCUCUCUCUUUCAUCCACACACCCCUGUGCACCUGUGAGACAGAGGCCUGUUGUUUCCCUUUCAACGGGGGGGGAUUGGGCUUCUGUCUGCUGUCAUACAAACUCAAUUUAUUUAAUCUGAAUGUAAUUGAUGUUAACACAUCCUAUAUACUAAGUUUCAACAACGGAUCUCUUGGCUCUCGCAUCGAUGAAGAACGCAGC